rnacentral:rRNA from 1 species
UCGUGUCGUGAGAUGUUGGGUUAAGUCCGUAACGAGCGCAACCCUUGUCCUUAGUUACCAGCACGUUAUGGUGGGCACUCUAAGGAGACUGCCGGUGACAAACCGGAAGGAAGGUGGGGAGUGACGUCAAGUCAUCAUGGCCCUUACGGCCUGGGCUACACACGUGCUACAAUGGUCGGUACAAAGGGUUGCCAAGCCGCGAGGUGGAGCUAAUCCCAUAAAACCGAUCGUAGUCCGGAUCGCAGUCUGCAACUCGACUGCGUGAAGUCGGAAUCGCUAGUAAUCGUGAAUCAGAGUGUCACGGUGAAUACGUUCCCGGGCCUU